AUCUUCUUCCUCAAACUAACAUUUUUCAUUUUUCACUUCUCAACCUCAAGCUUCAAUCUCAUCCAUCAUUAAUCAUCUAGAUCAUCUCAUAAACUCAAAUCCAUCAUCUUAUAACUCAAGCCAAGUCAAGAAAAUAAACAACAAAAUUCGUAGGGUUUCAAGCUCCUAAUUUUUGAAAGUUUCAUAAAAAUAAGUUGGGUGACUUUCUUGCUCAAUCAUGAUCAUAUACUCAC
rnacentral:lncRNA from 1 species